GUCUCGCGCGAGCAAUGGUCGUCCUCCGGAACACCAAAGGCGCAAAAAACAUAACUUGAGUUGUGCGGGAUUACGGGCGCGGCUCUCUGCAGCGUCCCUCCAUCCCCGGGUGUUGUAACCGGCAUGCGGUGGGGUGCCCUCGGGCCCUCACCGUGCCACAACAUACCGUGAGUGUGCAGGAUGUGACCCGAAAGAUGGUGAACUAUGCCUGAUCAGGUUGAAGUCAGGGGAAACCCUGAUGGAGGACCGAAGCAGUUCUGACGUGCAAAUCGAUUGUCAGAAUUGGGCAUAGGGGCGAAAGACCAAUCGAACCAUCUAGUAGCUGGUUUCCUUCCGAA
rnacentral:rRNA from 1 species